rnacentral:rRNA from 1 species
UGGGGAAUAUUGCACAAUGGGGGAAACCCUGAUGCAGCAACGCCGCGUGAGUGAUGAAGGCCUUCGGGUUGUAAAGCUCUGUCUUCAGGGACGAUAAUGACGGUACCUGAGGAGGAAGCCACGGCUAACUACGUGCCAGCAGCCGCGGUAAUACGUAGGUGGCAAGCGUUGUCCGGAUUUACUGGGCGUAAAGGGAGCGUAGGCGGAUAUUUAAGUGGGAUGUGAAAUACCUGGGCUUAACUUGGGUGCUGCAUUCCAAACUGGAUAUCUGGAGUGUUGGAGAGGAAAGUGGAAUUCCUAGUGUAGCGGUGAAAUGCGUAGAGAUUAGGAAGAACACCAGUGGCGAAGGCGACUUUCUGGACAAUAACUGACGCUGAGGCUCGAAAGCGUGGGGAGCAAA